UACGGAGGGUGCGAGCGUUGUCCGGAAUCAUUGGGCGUAAAGGGCGCGUAGGUGGCCACUUCAAGCGUGCGGUGAAAGUCGGGGGCUCAACCCCUGAUCGGCCGUGCGAACUGGGGGGGCUGGAGCACUGUAGAGGCAGGCGGAAUUCCGCGUGUAGCAGUGAAAUGACGUAGAUAUGCGGAGGAACACCGAUGGCGAAGGCAAUCCCCAUGGGCUUCGUACGUGA
rnacentral:rRNA from 1 species